AUAAAAACGGGAAGUUGAGGUGCAGAGAAGCAGAAAUUUAUUAGUAAUACAAGGAGACAUCGAUCGCUUCUAACGAAAAUCUUUGUUAAUUAAAUAAAUAAAAUCAAAGAUGUCCAAAUUUAUCAUUUUAAUGCUGGUAUAUAUGUUGAUCGUAAAUAUUUGUGCUGAAAAGUGUUUACAAACUGGCAGAAAUUGUGAAGAAAAUGACGCGUGUUGCAGUGAGAAGUGCGAAGAGUAUCAAGGGGCAAAGUAUUGUUUCCCAUCAGAACAAGAAAUGGAAGCAAUGAAGGCAUCUUUGCCUUAUAUGGGUAAAGAUGCAGUUUUAAAAAUUCAUGCUUUUUGUAAAUCGAUGGAUGAUUAAAAAUUAUACAAUGUGUAAUUAAUAAUUUGUAAUUCGUUUGAUGAUAAAAUAAAUAAUUAUUUGUCAUCAGCCUCCAAAAAUAUUAUUUUAGUUCAUUUUUAUUGCUAACUAUCAAUUUUAUUAUACAUAGAUAUAUGAAGUUUCACAUGCUGGUAGCACUCGCCUAUGGCUCGUGAUGCCAAGUCCUACUAGAUUUAAUAAUUUAAAAGAGCGGCUAAUAGACUUUACGUCAGUAGCAAAAGUUGGGACAAAAUUUUCCGAAAAAUUUCCCUUAAAAAUUGUAUUACGAGACAAAAUAUUCUAUGAGGCGACUUGGGCCACUUUCAUUAUUUUUAAAAAAUAAUUUAAAUUUCAAGUGACGUCUCGAUUUUUCAUACAAAUUUUGAAUGUAUGCAGAAAAAAAAGAUUUCUUGGCGCAAUAAAUUUUUACUCGCUCCAAAAAAAUUUUUACUUGUCCUGAUAAAUUUUUUCCAUUUUUUACUAAAAUCAAAAAUUUUUUUAGAGCGUGAAAAAAAUUAUUGCGCUAAGAAAUUUUUUCCAGUCCAAAAUAAAGUUCCUGUACAAAUAUGAGUUGAUAUUUAGAGGAAAAAAUAGUGGAAAAAAAUUAUUUAAAGUUUGAAAUUUUAUACCUCAGCCAUGGCUCAUUGUACAGAUCUCAGAAAAUAUUUUUUAGGAAUUUGAAUGCUCUAAAAAAAAUCUCUUAUUAUUUUUUGAUAAAUUCAUCUGUUCAAAAGAUUUGGGCUGAAAUAAUUGUUAUAAACUUUCAGUAAAAAUAAAUUUAUGUAAAAUAUUAAAUAUGCAUUUUAUCUAUUGGAGGAAAAAAAAUUUAGACAAUUGCCACAAGGUUGUCGAUGACGUUUGCAUAACGAUUAUCGAUUAGAACAAUUAAAAUAAUUAAUAUAAUAAGCUUGAUAAAUAACCAUUUAAAUUUUGAAUAAAAAGGGGUAGAGGUACAGAGAAGCAGAAAUUCAUUAGUAAUACAAGAAGACAUCGAUCCCUUCUAACAAAAUUCUUUGUUAAUUAAAUAAAUAAAUUCAAAGAUGUCCAAGUUUAUUAUUUUAAUGCUGGUAUCUAUGUUGGUCGUCAAUAUUUGCGCUCAAGAGUGUGGAGAAACUGGCAAAUAUUGUGAAGACAGUGACGAGUGUUGCAGUAAGAAGUGCAAAGAGUUUCAAGGGGCAAAGAAUUGUUUCCCAUCAGAACAAGAAGUGGAACAACUGAAGGCAUCUUUGCCUUAUAUGGGUAAAGAUGGAAUUGCAAGAAUUUAUGGUUUUUGUAAAUCGAUGGAUAAAUAAAAAUUAUACAAUGUGUAAUUAAUAAUUUAUAAUUCGUUUGAUGAUAAAAUAAAUAAUUACUUGUCAUCAGCCU